rnacentral:rRNA from 1 species
UACGAAGGGGGCUAGCGUUGUUCGGAAUUACUGGGCGUAAAGGGCGCGUAGGCGGUGUGUCAAGUCAGGCGUGAAAGCCCCGGGCUCAACCUGGGAAUUGCAUUGGAGACUGCAAGGCUAGAGUGUGUCAGAGGGGGGUAGAAUUCCACGUGUAGCAGUGAAAUGCGUAGAUAUGUGGGAGGAACACCGAUGGCGAAGGCAGCCCCCUGGGCUGAGAGUUGA